CAGGGACACAGAGAUACAAAGACAGACGGAGAGAGAGAGAGAGAGAGAUGUAUAGAGUCAGAGAGAGUGUGUAACACAUUUAUUUUAAGAAAUUAGCUCACACAAUCAUGGGAGUUGGCAAGUCUGAAGUCCACAGGACAAGCCAGUUAGGCUGGAGGCUCAGGUAAGAGGUGACACUACCGUCUUAAAGCCUAAAGCCUGGAAACUCAGGCAGAAUUACUAAGUUGCAACCUUGAGGCAGAAUUCCUUCUUCAGGAAACUUCGGUGUUUACUCCUCAGACCUUCAACUGAUCAGGUGCGGCCCACUCACAUUACCUAGGCUCAUCUCCUGUCCUGAAAGUCAACUGUGGUUGAUGGUGAUGGCGAAUCUACAAGGACAGAUGCCGGGGGAGGUGCAGGUAAUGAAACCGCUUUUGCAAAAUCAUAACUGAGGAAAUUAUGACGCUGAAAGAAAUCAGACCUAAGCGUCUCCGUCUUGCUUCUAAGCUUCAAGCUGUCCUUGUUCUUUCCUGGGCAUAGGCCGAACUAACUUUGGGAAGGAAUUCAGUUCAUGGUUUGGCUCUGAAACAAAAUUGGUAACAGCCCUUUCCCGAAAAGACCCCCUUUUUGCCUGGGGACCAGUCUGCCUUUGCAGGACUGACAAAUUAGCUACAAGAUUAGAAAUUACAGUUUAGGGGCCAUACAGCCUCUGGCUCCAAGAGUCUGAACCUCCCCAAAUUGCUCCUGGGGACAACAUCACUAUUGUAAAACCUAAGAUCAGUGCUCCAGAUAUGUUGCAGACCCUGAACUCAAUGGAUCAGCUGACACCAUCGAGACCAGUAAUCUGACCCCUCCAGUUCUGUGAUCCCACCCAGGAACGGAAGACAGAAAACCUCACCUGGACCCCCUAUGAUUCCAACUUCAACCUCACCAAUCAACACUCCUCACUUCCCAAACCUCUACCUGCCAAACUAUUAUUAUUAUUAUUAUUUUGAGAUGAAGU
rnacentral:lncRNA from 1 species